UAUUGCUCUUAGGUCAUGAACUAGGCGAUAUUUUCCAGUAUUGGCCUUUUUUACUGGAAAAAUUGGUGUAUUACACGUGGCUUUACUAGUUUUCACGAGAAUACCUGCUUUCUGCAUGUCUGCUAUUACUGGCCUAAUUCCUUCCUUUGCUUCUGCACUCAAAGGAUAUUGUGUUUUCACAGGCCUUCUGGCCCUGAUGCUGACCUAACUAUCAGAGUGUCAUUAGAGAAUCUCAUUUUCACUUGAGGCAUUUUUAGAUACCUUCUAGUUUUUCAAAGAAUUCACACAUCUUACAUAUUUCAAACUUUGAAGUUUUUUGUUUUGUGUAUAUAUAUAUUUUUUCCUAAACUUUGCAUUGUUCAUAGCUCACAGUUCUAAAACUGGGUAUUUGUAAAUCAUAUGCAUUUGUAAAUCAUAUGCCUAAUCACUAUGUGUCACCGUAAUCCACAAGUAUUGGCACAAAUUUGUUUCCAAACCAACAAAAUAAUCAAAAAAACAAAAACAUACAUGAGUCAGGAUACAAAAAGACUAAGAAAAAUGCUGCCAGAAACAAAGCAGAAGUGUGAGGGGAAACUGAGCUCACAGACAGCUGCAUGUGUUGGCUUUUAAUAGCAUGCAGCCUCUGCUCUAAAAAAACCAAUAAAUAAAAAAUAAAAGAAAAUGUGUAACAUGCUCAUCAACUUAGCGGUGUCCACACAUUUAAUUCAGCUUCAUAAUCCUGUAGGUUUAGUUAUUAUCUACAGGGUUUGGCUUAUUAGUUGUUAUUAUAGAUGUGCUCUGUAUCUCAGUAAUAUUUAUCUAGGAUAAAUGACAGGUUUUCAAGCAGGUUAAGUGCCUCUAUGCACCUAAUUGGUUUAAUUAUUGCCUUUAUUUUCUUCAUCUCAUAUUUCAUUAUACUGAGUUUGAGCAAACCUUUAAGCUUGAUGCAGACUACUUCAUAACAAUUGUCCAUCUCACAUCAUACUGGCUAGGAUACUUCUUGUUAUUAUUAAUAUUAUAUUUUUAUUAAUUAUUAUCAUCUUUUUCUGUCUAUAUAAUAACAAUAGUAUAUUACAAUAUUUUAUUAGUGUAUAUCACUAUACUACUACUGAGCCAACUUAAUAGUUAGGAUCAUCUUACUCAGCAAACAGAUAAUUUAUAGUUCAUCCAAUCUGUACAAAUUUGCUUUUUCUCUGAACAGGUUUGUGCCUACUUUUAGACUGGUCUUCUGUUUGCCUCAUCUCAGAUCCAACCUUCAGUCACAUUCAUUCUCUCUGUUGCAUGUCGAACCAAGUAGUUUAUUAUUAUAUUUUAUUUUGUAUCCAUCAGGGACUGUGAGUGAGCUGCAGUCUCACCCACUUCCA
ensembl:lncRNA